rnacentral:tRNA from 1 species
AAGGGAGACCUAAUUCGGGUAGGAGACGAGAAAAAAGUAGUCCCUACCAAGAAUCAAUCCCAAAAGGUCGGAACGAGGUAUGAGGCUUUCAAACUAGGUUCUGGGUUCAUAAAAGACCUGAAUCAGGAACAAGGGCUAUUAGCUCAGGUGGUUAGAGCGCACCCCUGAUAAGGGUGAGGUCCCUGGUUCGAGUCCAGGAUGGCCCACCUGCACAGGUGGCAAAAACAAGAGAAGCUCCGAAUCAGCACCUUAUCUUAUAUACAUAUAUAAGAGAGAAUGCUGGCUCUGAGUAAAGAGUCCAGAGGAACCUUGAAAACUGCAUAGAGCUAGGUGAAAAAGCCAAAAAAGAAGACCGCAA